rnacentral:misc_RNA from 1 species
UUUCCGUAGGUGAACCUGCGGAAGGAUCAUUAACGCGCAGGCCGUUGAAGGCGCGCCGCGGACGCCAUGUCCGCGAGCUGUGCCGCCGGCCACACGCCCAUUCUUGUCUACCCACCCGGUUGCCUCGGCGGGCCGCGCGCCCGCCAGAGGAGUGAUUAGAACCCAUGAAUACUGUUCCGUCUGAGCGUUAGCAAGUGAAAUCAGUUAAAACUUUCAACAACGGAUCUCUUGGUUCCGGCAUCGAUGAAGAACGCAGC